rnacentral:rRNA from 1 species
GACGAACGCUGGCGGCGUGCUUAACACAUGCAAGUCGAACGGAAAGGCCCUGCUUUUGUGGGGUGCUCGAGUGGCGAACGGGUGAGUAACACGUGAGUAACCUGCCCUUGACUUUGGGAUAACUUCAGGAAACUGGGGCUAAUACCGGAUAGGAGCUCCUGCUGCAUGGUGGGGGUUGGAAAGUUUCGGCGGUUGGGGAUGGACUCGCGGCUUAUCAGCUUGUUGGUGGGGUAGUGGCUUACCAAGGCUUUGACGGGUACCCGGCCUGAGAGGGUGACCGGCCACAUUGGGACUGCGAUACGGCCCAGACUCCUACGGGAGGCAGCAGUGGGGAAUAUUGCACAAUGGGCGGAAGCCUGAUGCAGCAACGCCGCGUGCGGGAUGACGGCCUUCGGGUUGUAAACCGCUUUCGCCUGUGACGAAGCGUGAGUGACGGUAAUGGGUAAAGAAGCACCGGCUAACUACGUG